GCCGGGAUGGCGAAACAGGUAGACGCAGGAGACUUAAAAUCUCCCGGCCGAUUGGCUGUACGGGUUCGAGUCCCGUUCCCGGCA
rnacentral:tRNA from 1 species